rnacentral:rRNA from 1 species
UACGUAGGGUGCGAGCGUUAAUCGGAAUUACUGGGCGUAAAGCGUGCGCAGGCGGUUUUGUAAGUCAGAUGUGAAAGCCCCGGGCUUAACCUGGGAAUGGCAUUUGGGACUGCAAGGCUUGAGUGCGGCAGAGGAGACUGGAAUUCCUGGUGUAGCAGUGAAAUGCGUAGAUAUCGGGAGGAACACCUAUGGCGAAGGCAGCUCGCUGGGACGUUACUGACGCUGAGACGCGAAAGCGUGGGGAGUAAACAGG